AGAAAAAACAAUGUAGAAGGAGACACACGUUUACUCUGGUUUCAACACGCCUCCUCCCCAUCCAGCAAAGGCUGUUCCCAGCUCUGUGGAGUGGCUGCCCUAGGAUAAAGUUAACCCCACCUGCCCCGGCCUGAAAGCCAAGUCAGAGGCACUUCUACCCGGGCCAGUCGGCAACCACACGGCAGGAGCCUCGGACACCCAGGCAGGGAUGCUCCAGAGCUUGGGCCGCAGGACACUAAAAUGACCAGCCAUGGCAGUCCCACCCUCUUGGCCCAAUGCUGGCCAAGGAGCUCUAUGGGGAAGACUGCUGGGCUGGGUUCUGAGAACAGUUUCUGCUUCUCCCUCUACAGGUGCCUGGGUGUGGCUCUGAGACUGGCUGCCGUCAUUGUACUGCAAGCCUAAAGGGCCAGCCCUCACUGAGGAGGGCAGAGAGUUGACGGUCAGGACCUGGGACGGGUGACCUUGUUGAGUUGCACCUUUGGCCAAGCUGGAGCAAGCCCGACCUCUGCAGUUUCGCCACAUGAGAUGAUACAUUUCCCUGCAGUUUAAGACAGAAGGUGAAGUCAAGUCCCCUCGCUGACCCCAGUGUCCUCCAUGUGUGGCACGUGUGGAUUGACUGUCAUGUGUGCUCCGCAUUUCUCCCUGCCACUUCCCUCAUGGAACUGAGCCUCCAGGCCCCUCCUCACCUCUGUCCUACAUCUCAGUACUGACAGUGGUGGGUCAUUUGUGAAGAUGGCUGCAAUAAUUCCUCCUGUCCUGUACUUUGCAAUGCAACUUUGCUGUCCCUCCUAUCAAAAGGCAGAGUUUAUUUCUCCAUCCCUUAAAUCCAAGCUUGGCCAUGUGACCUGCCCUGGACAACAGAAAAUAAUAAAUGAGACACAAGCAGAGACUAGAAGUGCUUGUGAAUUAGGACUUCUCUUUUGGUAGCACCUGGAACCCUGGGAUGGUGAUGCAAUUGGGCCUGAAUAAGUCUUUAGGAUACAGCUUCACCUUCCUUGUUGAUUCAGUUCCUGCUUCACAGGUUUGCUUUGUUCCCUGUCAAACUCCAUGUGAAAAAUACCCCUACUACACGUACAUUCUGCAGAUCAGACACACAGUGGGGAUGAAAGCAGAAGGAGCUCUGCAUUGGUUUCCUAUGGCUCUGUAGCAAAUAGCCACACACUUAGUGACUUAAAACAACAUAAAUUUACUCUCUUACAACCCUGCAGAUCAGAAGCCUGAAACGAGUUUCAUGGGCUAAAAUCAAGGUGUCUACAGGGCUGCAUUUCUUCUAGAGGGUCUAGGGGAGACUCAUUCCCUUGCCUCUGUAGCUUCUCUAGGCUGCUUGCAUUCCUUGCCUCUAUCUUCAAAGCCACAGCAUCUUUAAACCUCUCUCUGAUUCCCGCCACCCUCUUCCACUUCUAAGGACCCUUGUGAUUACACCCAGGUCAUCCGGUAAACUCUCCUUAUCUCAAGAUUCUGAAUCACACCUGCAAGGUCCCUUUUACAUGUCAGGUAACAGAUUCACAGAUUCUAGAUAUGAGGACAUGGACAUCUUUGGAAGGCUGUCGUUCUGCCAACCACAAGCUCUCUGAGGGGCCUCACACUUGGGUGAGGGUAUAUAUUUAUAGCAGACACUGCUACCCCUCACCCACAUUCGUCUUACUGGACACACACUUCCUUGCCUUGUAUUCAGGUGACAGUCAUGCAAUUGAGUUCUGGCCAAUGGGAUGUAAGCAGAGGGCACUGCUUACAGGCUGGGCCACAAAACCCCCCACAGAGGCUCCUGGCUUUUCCCACUUGAGCUGAGUGACAAUGACUCCGAGGACCCAGGGGAAGGUGGAACUGCAGGGUGGAAGAAGGCAGAAGCCCUACAUGACAGUAGGACUGUCUUCCUGAUGACUCACACUAUAUUUGGAUAUACAUUAAGACACUGAAAUUUGAGGGGUUUUUUUGUCACAGUGAUUAACCAAACACCGAUAAUGCACAAAUACUUUUAAAGAACUAUGGUAUUGAAUUUCAUAAGGAAAUAUCGCAUUUACUUAUUAUAAUAAGUUGAUUUGUGACAUAGACUGAACAAGGUUACUUGCUAAACACACACAAAAAAAUGAAACCAGGAAUUAUGUGACUCAGCUAUGAGCAGCCCUCUGCAUCUGACUUGUUUCUAUGAUUUGUGUUGAUAUUGACUGGGUGUACCUUAUUGAACAAGUCUGAUUCACACUAAUAAGUAACUGCAAAUGAUAACCAGUAUAUUUCAACCUACAGAAAUCUCCAGGAACUCUUCACUAAACAGAGACCUCCAGAAAAGCUUGAUUCCGAGGUCAGCAGAGAAACUUUUUACUGCGUGACACAAGUCAAUGUUUUGAAGAGCUUCUACACCGAUUUACUUUUGUGUUGUUUACUUUCCAAAGACUCAGAGACAGUUUCCCCAAAAGCUGCAGGAUAAAUGAAACCAAAACCAGGCAAACAAGAACAACAAGAUAGGAGCCCAGUGGUCAAGCAACUGGAGUUAGAGAUUUCACGGGUGGAGAAGCAGGGGAAUGUGUGUGUGUGUGUGUGCGCGCGCGCAUGUGCACAUGGUGGGGUGGGGGACAGGAGUAGGCAGAAAGAUCCUGUGACCUUGAAAACAUGUGCCUCUACUGUACAAAAUGGUCCUUCUGGGCAAAUGACAGGAGGGUCCCAUGUCUAGAUGGUCCUGUGCCUCACCAGAGUAAUGAGCUGAGGGUUCCUAUAGUUGCUUGAACAGAGAGCAGAGCCUGGGACCCCCAGCACUAAUGUACACAAAUAUUGAUAGAGGCUGGGGAGGGCCUGGGGCCCCAGAGUGGUUACAUCUAGGCAGUGGUCAGCAUCUCGCCUGUGAUGUAUUAUGGGAGAUUGGUUCUGUGGCCUCACUGAGUGGGAAGUGAGUCCAGGGAGCCCCUGUUGCCUCUGGCACCAAAAGAAGUAGAAAGCUCUGGAAUCCAGCCAACAAGCAGACAAGGCACUUAUAAGAAGUGUCCCCAUUUGGGAGCCCAGGACUGCAGGAGAAGGCAGCUCCUCCCAGGCCAAACUGGGAAGCCUGCACCAGGAAGAACCCGCUGGGGGAAGAACGCUCCCAUUGACAGAAUACACAUUCUGUGCCAAACUCUAUGCUCUGCCCUUUACAUAUAGUUCAGUUGAACGACAGCCCGGGGUGGCAGGUACUUUUAAUUCCCAGUUUAGAGAUAAGGACGAAGCUUAGCAAGACUAGGAAGUCAGCCCCGAGAGCACAUGGCAGAGCUGGCACCGCAGCUCAGUGCUGCCGGAAUCAAGCCCAUGUGCUCAGACACCUGCAGGGAGGGGAGGGCUCCGGCUGCACACAUGCCACCACUGUGGGAUCCCUUUCCUCUUGAACUUUGCCUUGACCAAAAUAGACCAGGAGAGGGAGGCAUUGUGGCCCUCAGCACCACAAUUAAAGCUGUAAGUGUUACCAGGGGUUACCACUGACCUUGGCCCACACAGAGGGAAACAGCGAGCUGCAAAGCCAGGGUACACGGCGUGCACUGGUAGCGCUCACCCCAGGCAUCGGGGCAGCAGGCACAAUAUGCUCCCAUCUUCCUUGCCUUUCGGGCCUCAGAUUUCACAGACUCGGUGACAGACCUUCUGGAACAACUCAAGGGCCCUCAGAACACUCUGAACCGCUCAUUGUUUACAGAACAGUGGCUGCUAUGAGCAUCCCAGGGUUAACCACUCUGUAACUGCCCACGUUAGAAGUGGGGAGGCUGAGGCACAAAGAGGUUUGCGCCUAAACUAGGAUUCAGAAACUAGUGAAAGCUGAUAAACUGUUUGGCCGUGGUCCCCAAGCAUGUCCACCGAAUAUCUGAUGCACCAAUUGUGGGCUCUAAUUAAUAGUGGUUCAUGGGAGUAAUAAACAUCUUCCAAGUAAAACAUUGGCUUCACCUCUGGGUAGGCCCUCCCAGGUGUGGACCAGGGGAGCCGUGGGGAAGUCAGGGGGUUGACUGGGAUAGAAAAGACUCUCAUCUACACCGCAAGUCUAACAGUUCACCCACCAAAAGACACCUCACACACUCGCCUGGUCGCGUGUGCAAAGUGGGGCUCCUCUCUUCCUUGGGACGGCAGAUGCCGGUCCUCACCAGCCCCCAGACAACCUGCCUCCUUGGUUUUUGUUUAUUGUGUGUUUGCUCUGUGACACGGUGGGGUUGUAAGUCACAUUUUCUCUCUAACAACGUUGACAGCUGCCUGAGUCCUAGCAGUCCAAUCAGGGUCCCAGGGAUGAUGAAACCCAUUCUGUUCUUUUCUUUAAUAAAGUUGUUGCCCAAACCCCUUUUCCCUCCACACUUCCCUAUAAAGCACGUCAAGUCAGGAGGACUUUCAGAACGAUGUUUAUGUGCAGAGACUUGCCAUGAGAAACGACUUGGGGACAUUUAAUUAGACUGGAGAUUGAUUGAUGAGAAUGUGGACUUUUCUCUAAAACUCUAAUUUUGGUACUUUAUUAUUAAAAAAAAUUUUUUUAAUUAAAUAGCAUUUUACAUA